rnacentral:misc_RNA from 1 species
UACACAUAGAUAUUAGCACAGACAGGUUGCAGAUAUCCACAUCAGGAGGAUAUAGACAGUAAUUUACAGAAACCAUAUGAGUAUUUAUAUUACAACCAGAAUACUUCAGAUAUUAUUAAAAGGCUUUAUUUUUGUUGCUUAUGUCCUUCCUUUGCAUUAGUCCCACUACCAGUUAGGCCCUGUAACAGGAUGGCUUCAUCGGCUGUUCCAGUUAGUUUAUAACUGGAGA